rnacentral:tRNA from 13 species
UGGGGCGUAGCCAAGGGGUAAGGCAACGGGUUUUGGUCCCGCUAUUCGGAGGUUCGAAUCCUUCCGUCCCAG